rnacentral:rRNA from 1 species
AUUGAACGCUGGCGGCGUGCCUAACACAUGCAAGUCGAGCGGUAACAGGUGUAGCAAUACAUGCUGACGAGCGGCGAACGGGUGAGUAAUGCUUCGGAAUCUACCUUAUGGUGGGGAAUAACUAGCCGAAAGGUUAGCUAAUACCGCAUACGUCCUACGGGAGAAAGCAGGGGAUCGCAAGACCUUGCGCCAAAAGAUGAGCCGAAGUCGGAUUAGCUAGUUGGUAGGGUAACGGCCUACCAAGGCGACGAUCCGUAGCUGGUCUGAGAGGACGACCAGCCACACUGGGACUGAGACACGGCCCAGACUCCUACGGGAGGCAGCAGUGGGGAAUAUUGGACAAUGGGGGAAACCCUGAUCCAGCGACGCCGCGUGUGUGAAGAAGGCCUGCGGGUUGUAAAGCACUUUUAGUGGGGAUGAGAUGUGCAGGGUUAAUACCUCUGCAUUUUGACCUAACCCACAGAAAAGGCACCGGCUAACUCUGUGCCAGCCGCCGCCGUAA